AUGGCUCCUACACUAUUUGGUGAAAUUUUCUCUGAAUUCUUAAAGAAAACAGGUACAGCUUUUAAGCUUUCUGCGGUGUUGGGUCCGAGUGUUUUCAUCAACUUCAUGCUUAAGUUGGAGCAAAUGUGUGUCUGCAAACACUCUGGCGAGGACAACCAGUUUUUCUUAGUAUCUUACAUGUUUUGUCCAGCACUGAUUUUGCUUAUCAUCAUUGUGCUGAUGGACAAGACCAGCAUCACAUGCUGGCCACUUUGCUGCAGCCCUGAGGGCCGGAAAAAACUUUUCUCUCAUUCGCUCUGCUGCAGAAAAGGAUGUACAGUAGUUAUGAAAGGUGUGUUUGGAGCAAGUGUUUGGAUAAUAUCAGUACUGCUUGAUGGCGACUGGUACGUGUGUUUUAAAACAUCACGUAACAUCAGGGAUGUCCUUGGAGAUCUUCCCUGCAAGAGUGAAGACCGUGACACAACUGAAGAAAAUUCCAGAAUCACUCAGUAUUACAAUGUUUCACGGGCUAUAAGCCUUAUUUUGGCCACUAUCCUGGCAAUUGUAUGGGCUAUAGUUAGAUGCUGUCAGGGUGGCUCCUCAUAUUACAAAUAUAAAUAUGAAAAAUAUCAGGAAAGGGAAACAGGAAAAGCCCUGAAAGAACACUUACAAGAACUUGCAAAACAAAACGCUAAAAAGACCUGCCUUCUGGUAUUAUCUGCAAUUCAGGAAACAUCUGGGGCGUCUACGACACAGUCACAGCCUCCAACUGUGGAACAAGUUAUUGUAGAGCCUUUAACCGAAACUCAGAGACGAAACCUAAUCGACAGAGCAAAAAAGACCCAACUACAACAGAAAACACUUGAUGACCUUUGGGGAAAAAUGUCAGAACCAGAUUUUUGCUUAUCCGGACUCCAGUUAGCUAUAAAAAGGAACCAAUCAGCAGUCACUGCAGAUCCAGCAUCGACCGAUGGGAGCCGUGGGAGGGCAGGUCCCUCCAGUGAGAACCAACCAGCAGUCGCCUCAAAUCCAGCAGCACUCAGUCAGAGUGAAGAGGAAAUGCUGUUGAGUUCCACCACUGACAGGCAGCAUAGACCCACUACAGCUGAUCCCAUGGAACUGAGAGGGAUGCAGUGACCGUUACAGGUCAAAGUCACAUAAUUCGGUCUCAGUGUUGCGGAUAGUUUGCAGAAACUUGGAUGAAGAUCCUCCAGCAUCAAACAGUAAAUAAUGAUCCUCCUCUUUGAACCUCAGUGAUGGUGAGCAGCGGUUCCAUCGCGGUGAGAGCUGUUCGGUCCCGGGUUUGAAUCGCCUUAUAAUAGGAGGAAUUACAGUACAUACCCUGAGUUACUCCAGUAAGAAUACCAUGCUGUGUAAAUUAGUCAUUAUGGAAAUAACACCGUCAGUUAGGUAAUAGUAUUUUUUAUUUCUUUCUUAAUUUGACUUUGCUUUGAGAUUCCUUCCCUUUCAGACAGUUAAACCAACUUUGAUUUCUCUCUGAACUGCCCUUUCUUGGCUUCUCUAGCAUGUGCUUAGUGUAUCAACAUAAAUUUAAUUUUCUUCAUUUGUUACUGAAAUAACCCUUCUAUGGGCAUGAACUGAGGACAUGGCAUCCAUUUAUUGGGUCAUGCUGUUCCUUUCUGUCCUGUGAAAACCCAAGGUAUUUAUCCUCUUAUUCUGUUAAAGCUCUGAAAUUGAAUACUUGCGCAGUACACAGUCAAAUUCACUGAUUAUAUUCUGUUGACCAGUUUAUUCUUCGCGUAUUAUGACAGUAUAUCAAGAUUGCACAAUGUAACAAAUUUUAUUAUGAGUUAAGGAUUUUCCAUUCAGCUUUGUUAGAUUAAGCAUACUUUUGGUGUAAGUUCAUACUGUGUCAGUUCUUGGAAAAAUAUUCCAUAUUCUGGAAAUUAGUAAAUUUUGCCACCAAAUAUUCCAGUACCUCUUAGUAUGUGAUGCUUUUCAGAAUGUUCUGGAACCUUUUAGAAUCUUCUAAUAACUGCAAGUUUCUGUGGCUAAAACAGACACUCUAGAAGAACUAGUGGCAUUUAUGUAAUCAGUAAAUGUUAAUCAUAGUCAACAACCGAGAACUUUGCAAAAUUGUUACAUUCUGUUAUUGGAUAGUGGUGUCUGUACAGGU
rnacentral:lncRNA from 1 species